CCGGAAGCGGCGCGCGGCGCGGGAGCGGGGCGGAGCCACGGCCCUGAUCACGUGGUUCGGGCGUGAGUCUUGUGGCGCGGUGGGGCGCGGACCCGGAACCGCCAAGUGGUGAAGGCGCCUCCAGGCGGUGCCCGCUGGUCUCUAGAGUGUCAGUGGCGCUGUCUUCCUGCGUUACCGGAGCGCACAAAAUACUCGGUCCCCAGGCCGAGAACGCACCUCUACCUGGGUCCUGGGUCCCAUUUCACAGACUGAGAUGCGUGAAGCGCCUCCUUUAGAAGAGCUGACAAUUCUUAGCAAACCAAGUUUUGCGUGAUUUUGGGGAGGCGGCGCUGCCCCAGGAACGCCUGGAGGGCCUGCACCACCAAACUGGACAGCCAUGGGUGUGUAACCUCUUUUUGGGCCUGAGAAACAGACCUUUCUCUCCACUCAGAGCUCCGGCUUCAGCUAUUGUGCUUCCGAAUGCCACUACCAUCAGAUAUGCCAUCUACAGAACUUAACACCUGAGCACCCACCCUUCAGGGCCACCCAUGGGCCCAAAACGGGAUAAAGGAGCCAUUCCCUGACAUAGGAGGAAAACAUUUGCUGAGAAGCUACUGUGUGCCAGACACAAUCUUGGACUUUCACUUAAUCCUCAAAACAGCCCUAGGAAGAAGUACCUACCGUUAACAGAUAAGAAAGCUGAGACCCACGGUUUACACAGCUAAGGAGAGCAAAGGUUUUAACCCAGGACUGUCCUGACUCCACAACAUCAAAGUUGUUGUUUUGUUUUUGGUGUUUUGUAGAAACAGGAUCUCCCUAUUAUUACCCAGGCUGGUCUCAAACUCCUGGGCUGCAGCAGUCCUCCCACCUCGGCCUCCCAGAGUGCUGGGAUUACAGGCAAGAGCCACCACACCUGGCUGAUGAAUAGGAAUUGGGUAAACAUUUUUGAAAAUUAAAUACCAAAUUACCAUUACACAAUGCCAAACAGACCUCCUUUGUCCCCUUCCCAGGAUUUUUCCAGAAGAUGGACUCACAUUAUGAUGGCCCCCUUUUUCCGCAGAGUGUUCCCAAUGAAAAUUUCUGAAAUGAUGGGAAUGUUCUAAAUAUGUGCUGUCCGAAAUAGUAACCAUUAGCCACAUAUGGCUAUUGAGCACUUUAAAUGUGGCUAGCAUAACUGAAAGGCCACAUUUUUAUUUAAAUUUAAAUUUAAAUAGCAAACCGUGGCUAAUCAUAAUAAUAGCUUAAGAGAGAAAUGGUGAGCAGGGUUACUGGGAGAGGUAUUUUCCUAUAAGCUCUGGAUAUACAGUUGACCUGGGAACAACAAGGGUUUGAGCUGCAUGGGUCCACCAAUACAACCCUUGUUUUGUUUUGUUUUGUUUUCAAUAAAUACAGUCAGCCCUCUCUAUCAGAGGGUUCCACAUCCACAAUGAAACAUGGUUGGAAAAUACAGUAUGGGAUGUGAAACCUGUGUAUAGGGUGGGCUGACUUUUCGUUUCCAUAGGUUCUGCAGGGUCAACUAUAGUACAUGAGUAUACUCACAUUUUAGUAUCCUAAUAGAUCCUCAAACCAACACCUGGCAGAAAAUGGGGAACAAUUGCAUAACAGUAUUCAAGGGACUGGGUAUGAUGGCUUGCACCUGUAAUCCCAGCACUUUUGGAGGCCAAGGCAGAACAGGAGUUCGAGACCAGCCUGGGCAAUAUGGUGAAACCCCUUUUCUACAAAAAACUUAGCCAAGCAUGGCAUAUUUGUGUAAUGCCAUUUGCAUGACCCACAUGGUCACCCUGGACCCCGUGGAUCAGGCCCUGCCUGGUGCCACCACCGCCACUUCUGUGCCAGGCCCCCAGUGUGAUGCAAGUUGCAUGAUGCUCUUUGCUGUAGUGCCUUUUAAUGGCAUAGCUUUGGCAGGUUUGGAGAUGUUCAGAAUAGGCAAAUCCUGUGGUGGAUUUGUGGUUGUCUAAGGCCCUGGUGGAAGGGAGCAUAGGUGAAUUGGAGGGGAUGAUUAAAAGGUGUGAGAUUUCAUUUUGGGGUGAUGAAAAUGUUCUAAAAUUGGUUGUAGUAAUGGUUAUACAACUCUGAAUAUACUAAAAGGCAUUGAAUUGUACACUUUCAAUAUGUGAGUUAUAUCUCAAUAAAGCUAUUUUACAAAAAAAGACACCUCUUCCCAGAAGACUUCUCUGUUCCCUUGUCCCUCCCCUGACCCUCUCAUCUGUCCCUCCUUCAAAUUAUUUCAGUACUGUUUUUAUCAGUCCUGGCAUUUAUAGGAAGCACUGCAGGAAGGGAUUUCCAGGUAUUGACUGCUGUGUAAGAAACCACCCCAAAGUUUAUAGGCAUAGAACAACAGUCUU
rnacentral:lncRNA from 10 species